GAUGAACGCUGACAGAAUGCUUAACACAUGCAAGUCAACUUGAACUUCGGUUUGGGUGGCGGACGGGUGAGUAACGCGUAAAGAACUUGCCUCACAGAUAGGGACAACAUUUGGAAACGAAUGCUAAUACCUGAUAUUAUGAUUAUAUGGCAUCGUAUAAUUAUGAAAGCUAUAUGCGCUGUGAGAGAGCUUUGCGUCACAUUAGCUGGUUGGAGAGGUAACGUCUCACAAAGGCGAGGAUGGGUAGCCGGCCUGAGGGGGUGAUCGGCCACAAGGGAAUGGAGACACGACCCUUACUCCUACGGGAGGCAGCAGUGGGGAAUAUAGGACAAUGGACCAAGAGUCUGAUCCAGCAAUUCUGUGUGCGCGAUGAAGUUUUUCGGAAUGUAAAGUGCUUUCAGUUGGGAAGAAAAAAAUGACGGUACCAACAGAAGAAGUGACGGCUAAAUACGUG
rnacentral:rRNA from 1 species